UACGUAGGGUGCAAGCGUUUAAUCGGAAUUACUGGGCGUAAAGCGUGCGCAGGCGGUUUUGUAAGUUUGUCGUGAAAUCCCCGGGCUCAACCUGGGAAUGGCGAUGAAGACUGCAAGGCUAGAGUUUGGCAGAGGGGGGUAGAAUUCCACGUGUAGCAGUGAAAUGCGUAGAUAUGUGGAGGAACACCGAUGGCGAAGGCAGCCCCCCUGGGUCAAAACUGACGCUCAUGCACGAAAGCGUGGGGAGCAAACAGG
rnacentral:rRNA from 1 species